GGAAGAAGUGCUUCAAAUUGAAAAAUUUAAACCGCGACGCGGUGAAUCUGGUGGACUCAUAUAGGCCCGGGCCGUCAGCGGACAGGCACAUUUCGGAAUUGCUGGAACGGAUGAGAACCAACGACGACGAUGACGAAAGCGAGGAUAGUGAUUCAGAUAUGCGUUGGAAACGUGGAAACAAUGGCGCACAAAACUCAAAUCCGGAUCAGUAAGACCAACACAACCUGGCAAAGGCCGAACGUUUUGGUUCGAAGGGAGGAUGGAGAUGGACAGGAUAGCGUAUUGAGGAUCCCCGAUGUUGAGCCGCUGGAUGAAGAGCAUGAACCCGAGGCUCCAAGGGGAGGCAGAAAACGUAGGCGCCCAGUUUCCUCGUGUGAUCCAGUUGAGCUUCGUAGGUCAAAGCGCUCUCGGAAAUCGAACCGUAAAGACGAUUAUCAUUAUAUUUGAAUUUUCGGAGUUAUAAGUUAAGUUUAAAUUGAAUUCAGAUUUUUAGCUAGUUGUUUUAUAUAAAGCUUUCGGAUAGUCAAGUUCAGAAUUGAUUUGGAAAUGUUUUUAACUAGUUGUUACUUGGUUAAAUUUAAAACGAGUGUUAUAAAGAAACCUCCGAAAGGGGGAAGGAUUGAUAUAUACCUGCGCAUUCCAUGCGUUCGAUGUAAACCGACAUUCGAGUCGGUAGAUUUCGGGUAGAUAGCCGAUGCUCUGAUCGGUUGGGCCAAAGGGCUCGAAAGAGCAAACUAAUAAAGGAGACAUCAGUCUAAUCUGAACCAUCAACCUGACCAGUUCGCUUAGCGCAUCUAACCAACCGCAAAUCACAUUACCCCGUUUCGAGUUCCUAUAACGUGUCGUUGAGUUCCACCGGGUCGGUCUGUUUCGUUUAAGAAA